CGGUCGCGAGCUGCAUUCCUGUCGGCUGGAUUUUGAGGGCUCGGGAUAAGGGGUUCGUGUUGGGCAUGAGGAAAGGGAGGUCGGUGGCGCGGGAGGCAAAUAUUGCACUCCGUUGCCCCCUUUCCUGAACACCGAGGAAGGCCGUGUUUCCAACUCUCAACCCAAACUUUCCUCGGGCCGUGAGCGGUUUGUAUUGGCACAGAGAACGGGGAAGGCUUGACAGCGUUUCGCAUGUACUGUUAGGAUAUGAGGACUGCCACGUGCCCCUGUCUAGCAAGUUCCUGAUGCAGAGUGAAGACUUAAGUCCAAGGUCAUGGCAAAACAUCUGAAGUUCAUUGCCAGGACUGUGAUGGUACAGGACGGGAACGUGGAAGGUGCAUACAGGACCCUAAACAGGUAAUUUAGUGGACCAAAA